rnacentral:lncRNA from 10 species
CGGUGUAGCACGAUGGAAUCUGGUGGCUUAAACCUAGCUGUCCACAUUUCACUAUCUGAAGAGCAGAAAAUGUGUUAAUAGGAGCCUGGUGAGUGGAGGAGACUGAAGAUGGAGAGAGAGCCUGGACCUCAACAUGAGCAUCUGGAGCCAUUUGGCAGCAUUAGGCUGUGACCGCUUAGAGAACCGAAAGGUGCAGAGCUUUAAAGGAUUAUGGAGUCUGAAGACCAAAUGGGAUGAUGGAGAACAGCUAUUCAGUGGUACAAAUGUAAAUGCUCCCAGGCCCGGGCAGAAAAGAGAAAACAUUUCCAUGGAAGAGGAAACAGGAAAUUCCAACAGAUCAGCAACAGUUGGAGUGCUAACCUGUCACUGGAAUGGGAAAAAAAAUGCUGUCGUUGACACAUCUUUUCCUUGUUUUUGACACAAAUUAGAAACACCACCUGGAACACAGCUGUGACUUGAUAAACAAGUGAAACAUUCUUUGGUGUGGUGAGGGGAAAACAAAUUUCUCAAAGGACACGCACCAUGGUGUAUGAGAGGACACUGGAGCCCAGCCAGCAUCUGACAUGCUGAAUUCAAAGUGCAGGUGAAAGUAGGACAACUGAUUCACAAGCUGGGAUGCCUGUGUUGUUGUUUGCCAGUGUGCGUGUGUGUGUUUUCCUGGCACCCUUCAUUCAUUCCCCAGCACAGUUGACAUCAGGUUGGAAGCAGUGAGUUCUGAGGGAGACUGCUAGAGGACCCAACUUGGAGAAUCAACGAUCUGCGAUGAAGAUAAUGAAGAUAAAGACAAUGUCAAUGUCAGCGUCCAAAAUCAUAAGGACCCUUUAAGAAGCUUCCAGAGCAGAAGUGACUGUGCAAGAAGGGCCAAUAAAGUCUAGGCAAUGCACGACCAGGCGCGGUCGCUCACGCCUGUAAUCCCAGCACUUUGGGAGGCCGAGGUGGUUGGAUUACCUGAGGUUAGGAGUUUGAGACCAGCCUGACCAACAUAGUUUCACCCCAUCUCUACUAAAAAAAAAAAAAAAAACAAAACAAAAGUUAGCCAGGUGUGGUGCUGCACACCUGUAAUCCCAGCUACUCUGGAAGCUGAGGCAGGAGAAUCGCUUGAACCCAGGAGGCGGAGGUGGCAGUGAGCUGAGAUUGCACCGCUGCACUCCAGCCUGGGCGACAGAGUGAGACUCUGUCUCAAAAAUAAAUAAAUAAAUAAAUAAUAAAGUCUAGGCAAUGC